GCGGCCAUUGCUGGGAUGAAAGCAGUAAUUAUUCACAGGAUUCACUGUACUGCCACUGCAAAUUGCAUGCUGAGGGAAAUCCCAUCUUAGUAAGAAAAAAUGAGCAUUUCUUGGCUUAGCCACAAGAGUUCUGCGAUAUCUAUAUAGCAUGGCAGGAGAUCAAGAUAUACCACCAGAUUUAUCGCAGGACGCGGGCAACGCUGCUACUCUGACUUUGUCUUAAAGAGUCCAGAGCAUCAAGGCUGUAGCCCUUCAUGACACCAAGGUGUGUGAUCUCCUCCCAACAUGUCCAGGAUCUUCUUUGUUAGUAAGAAGUGGUAGCCAUUAUUUGUGGGCAGGCCAAGACACAGCAGUCAUCAUCAUCCAGAGCAGCCACAGCUAUACGCUGUGGCAGAGGCUGCUGUAGAGAGGCUGUGAAGAAGUGGUGAACAUGUGGCUGAGGCUGCUGUAGAGAGGCUGUGAAGAAGUGGUGAACUUGUGGGUGAGGCUGCUGUAGAGAGGCUGUGAAGAAGUGGUGAACCUGUGGCUGAGGCUGCUGUAGAGAGGCUGUGAAGAAGUGGUGAACCUGUGGCUGAAGCUGCUGUAGAGAGGCUGUGAAGAAGUGGUGAACCAAUAUGACCUUCUUCUGCAGUGAAUGCAAGACUCUCUUUUCCCGCAUGUUGACUACUGAACUUCUGGAAGCUACCAUCUCAACAAUGGGGUCUGUUUAGUCAAGCACCAGUCAGCAGAGCUCUGUAUGAUGGUCUCUAGGAUGGCAUGAUACUCAUGGCAGUUCUGAGCCCCAGUAUCACAUUAUCAGUGUAUCCAUCCUAUAGUGCUAUACCCACCCUUUGUGCAUUUUCUCAACUCCUACCUUUUACCAUAUGUCCAUCAUCUGCUCAUCAGUCUCUGAAUCUUACCCAUUGUAUGACUUCCCACCCCUGUCUGUCUUGUCUGUAUUUUUAUUUGUAUUGUCCUAAUCCUUAUCUGUUCCAGACCUCCCAUACUUCCAUUUGCUUCUCUUUAUCCUUUCCUUUCUUCCCUUAGACCCCUCUUUCUCUCUGAAAUAUAUAUCCCCUUCCAGAUAAAUAAAUAAACUGCUCACUUCUACCACCUCAUACAGCAUAACCCUCUACUGUGUUUCCUUUGUUUACGUUAUUUUCCAAGUUUCUUUCCAACCCCUUUCCACACUUACAAAAGAAAUAAAGUGGUGUUCUUUGACAGACAACCAUAGAACAAGGGAGCAGGGGACGUGAGUUUGACUGCUUCCUGGCAGUGCUGAGCUCAGCUAUAUGUAGCUUCUUGAAGUCAAACCUCACAACAUCAGUGCAAAGAGGCACUUACCGCUCGAGACCAUGUAGCCGAAAUAGAAUAUUACCGAAAGACCAGAAGCGCG